GAUUCCAAUUCUUAAGGCAAUUUAUUUGGACCAGGAACUUUGUAGUUCCUGGUCCAAAUAAAUUGCCUUAAGAAUUGGAAUC